CCAAGUGUCGUUAGCUCAAUUGGU
rnacentral:siRNA from 1 species